GAAUAGGAAAACGCUGGUUAAUAGAGCAUGUGGGGUAAGACUUAACAGUGCUGACCAAAACACUGCAGCCUGGCGACCAGCCGCCUGCCUUCCCUCCACAGCGCCACUUGUCACAGCUCCUCCACACACACACACACACACACACACACCGUGACAUGUUAUUAAAUAAUAUGUCAAAUAAUAUGAAUAUCCUCACUUCCUCACUCCCCUUUCCCCACUCCACACCCGCUACGUGAUUGUGAACGUAAACUUCACUUCACUUACUGCUGUGCCGUGUCACCGCAGCAAACACGAACGAGCGCAGGAUAGGUUCAACUAAAAUGUUCCUACUCUCUCUCUCUCUCUCUCUCUCUCAUGAGUGUUUCUCAAAGCCACAAAGAUGAUUAGCAAGGUUUCCAAAGGUGUUUGUCCUGUUAGUAAUAAUGAAAUGUUGUUAAUCUGUUGUUUAUUUCUCGAUUAACUUUAGCUCUGUGUGUGUGUGUGUGUGUGUGUGUGUGUGUGUCAAUACUACGUUACCAUGAGAUACAUAACCUUAUCCGCCGCUUCCCCCGCCACCCUUCUCCAUGCUUCCUCCCUGCCAGCGUCACCCCAAUCAGCUUCUCUUUUUCCAUUGCCCUCACCUCCUCCGACUCCCUGUCGGGUAAUGGGGUUGUCGUGUCCCUGCAGCUGCCCCUGACUGGCCAGCUGACGCCCCUUUAUGUCUACUGGACCGAGGUGAGCCAGGCAACGACUCAAGGUCCUUGAGGUGCUGAAGCCUGGGACACCCUCGCACCAAGACACGGGCUGAGUCUAUUGUCAAUUUAGGGGCCAGCCGGACUGUGAACUCCUGUACCUUCUGCAGGCUUUUAUUGCGCACCAGCUGAGUUAUCUGGGAGUCUCGCAUCUGUUGGUGGUGGUGGUGAAAAACAAUCUCCACAUCAGUGAGGGCAAGUGCAUUGGUGAAGAUAACAUCAGUGUACGCUGGAGGCAAAACACACUUUAUCUUCACCACCUGCAGUUUCGUCAGUGCAGCACGUUUGAAGCUCUCGACGGCUGUGAGGGGAGCCUGGCAGUCUUCGCCCUCCAGAGUGAGGUGUCGCAGUGACUUGCAGGUGGUAAAAAUGAGAGCCACGUCCAGGUGUCGGCAGCUGACUGUGAGAGCUGUGAGUUGACGCCCAACAACAGUUACCAUCUCCGAGACAGACUGUGCUGUCACAUUGACUAGACUGAGGUGCUGUGGGAAUGUGCAAUAGGGUGUUACAAUGUGUUACAGUGUUAGCAUGAAUGCUGUGAACAUGCAGUAGCCAGUUUCUUUCUUAUAUAUGAUCAGAGACAGGCAAUAAACUAUAAAGCUUAAGAAAUUAACAGAAUUAUAUCACCACUCUGGGAAAUGAAGAUAUAUUUUCUAGUAAGUGCAGGAUCGUUCCAUCAUAAGACCAUUUGAUGCAUAAGAAACUAAUAAUACAGAAAAAUAAAUCAGGGAUUACUUUUAAUAAUAUUAUCCUGAGAAAUCUAAUCAUACAGGAUUUAAGGUGAGGCAAGUGAUGCAAGGAAAUGUAACAACACAUAAUAAAGAGAUAUACCAUU